CAGGCGCUACGGCGCUGAAGUAACCCAUGCCAUACUCCCAGGAAAAGCUCGAACGACCUUCAACAAAAGGGUACCUGUACCCGAAACCGACACAGGUGGGUAGGUAGAGUAUACUAAGGGGCGCGAGAUAACUCUCUCUAAGGAACUCGGCAAAAUGACUCCGUAACUUCGGGAGAAGGAGUGCCUUAUUUUAAGGUUGCAAUAACCAGAUCCAAGCAACUGUUUAUCAAAAACACAGGUCUCCGCAAAGUCGUAAGACGAUGUAUGGGGGCUGACGCCUGCCCAGUGCCAGAAGGUUAAAGAAGUUGGUUAGCCUUGCGAAGCUGAUGACUGAAGCCCUGGUGAACGGCGGCCGUAACUAUAACGG
rnacentral:rRNA from 1 species